rnacentral:tRNA from 1 species
UUAUAGGUAGCUUAACUGUUUAAAGCCCCGGAUUCUUACUCCGGUGAUGUCUUUUUAGGAUUCUAUAAA